GGGUGCGAUCAUACCCUCACUAAUGCACUGGAUUCCAUCAGAAAUCCGUAGUGAAGCGUGCUUGGGCGAGAGUAGUACUUGGAUGUGUGAAAUCAUCGUGUUGCACCUC
rfam:Lupinus angustifolius cultivar Tanjil contig_4178, whole genome shotgun sequence.